CCUGGUGGCUCAGAAGAUAAAGAAACUGCCUGCAAUGCAGGAGACCUGGGUUCGAUCCCUGCGUCAGGA
rnacentral:tRNA from 1 species